rnacentral:rRNA from 1 species
CACACCGCCCGUCACGCCAUGGGAGUUGGUUUUACCCGAAGAUGGUGCGCUAACCGCAAGGAGGCAGCCAGCCACGGUAAGAUCAAUGACUGGGGCG